rnacentral:misc_RNA from 1 species
GAUGAAGAACGUAGCGAAAUGCGAUAAGUAAUGUGAAUUGCAGAAUUCAGUGAAUCAUCGAAUCUUUGAACGCACCUUGCACCCUUUGGCAUUCCGAAGGGUAUGCUCGUUUGAGUGUCAUUGUACUCUCACACUUCUGAUCCUUUGGAUUGGGAGCGGUGGACUUGGGUGUUGCUGCUUUACUGUGGCUCACCUCAAAUGCAUUCGUGCAACUCUUGGUUGGACAUAGUACGGCGUGAUAAGUGUCUUCGCCGGCGCCUCAUUCGAGGGUGGCCGAUCGGGAGCUCUGUGCUUCAAACUGUCUUCGGACAACAUCUGACAACUUGACCUCAAAUCGAGUAGGACUACCCGCUGAACUUAAGCAUAUCAAUAAGCGGAGGA